rnacentral:tRNA from 1 species
GCCCGGAUAGCUCAGUCGGUAGAACAGAGGAUUGAAAAUCCUCGUGUCGGUGGUUCGAUUCCGCCUCCGGGCACCA